GAUGAAGAACGUAGCGAAAUGCGAUAAGUAAUGCGAAUUGCAGAAUUCCGUGAAUCAUCGAAUCUUUGAACGCACAUUGCGCCCGCUGGUAUUCCGGCGGGCAUGCCUGUUCGAGCGUCAUUUCAACCCUCAAGCCCCCGGGUUUGGUGUUGGGGAUCGGCUCUGCCCUUCUGGGCGGUGCCGCCCCCGAAAUACAUUGGCGGUCUCGCUGCAGCCUCCAUUGCGUAGUAGCUAACACCUCGCAACUGGAACGCGGCGCGGCCAUGCCGUAAAACCCCAACUUCUGAAUGUUGACCUCGGAUCAGGUAGGAAUACCCGCUGAACUUAAGCAUAUCAAUAAGCGGAGGA
rnacentral:misc_RNA from 1 species